CAGGGAAGAGAGCAGGGGUUUAUCCUCCGGAAGUCACCUUCCAGAAGACUUCAACAGCACAGAAGUGGAGAGGAUGUCUCAUUUCUUCACAGUUGUUGGCUUCACAGCGCCAGCCCAUUAAAGAGACUGUGGAAUCAAAAUGCUGAAGAUGUUAGACAGAAAGUGUUGCUGAAUCAGUCCCUUCGAAGAGGCUGGCGCGAAUGAGUCACGUGGUGCAGAGGGAGAAGAAGCCGGGCACACUCCUAGCUGUCGAAGAUUUUAUUUACUCCGAAGGUUUGGUAUUUGUGUGAGUGCAGUGAAAAAAUAAGAGGAAACAUCAUGGGAAGAUGUAGCAAGAACAUGGCCGACUGCAAACCAGGAAGCACACCCUUUCCAGGAAUGGAAUUGGUCAGUAUCUUGAUCUCAGAC